UUUCAAUGAGACAACGGUUGCUGCAGUUGGAAGCAUUAAUCCACCCUUUCUUUGAUGAGCUUCGAGAUCCAAACACCCGCUUGCCAAAUGGAAGGUUCCUUCCACCUCUCUUCAACUUCAAGCCCCAUGAGUUGAAAGGAGUUCCCAUGGAGAUGCUGGUGAAACUGAUUCCUGAACACGCCAGAAAGCAGUGUCCUGUUCUAGGUAUGUAAUGUAUUUGCUGGAAAGAUCACCAAUGGACUAUAUAUAUCAUGCGCGUCUGAGAUUUCAGAAGGACAAGUCUGAGGAUUUAGCUGGCCAUGCGAACUUUUCUUUUGAUUUUUUUAUUUGAUUUGGAGCUUUGCAUCGCCUUCGGUGCCUUUUAUUGUAAAGCAUAUUUAGAAGGUCCGCUGACCUUUCAAAAUCUUAAAUAUCUUUUCAAACUCCUGCUUUUCUUAUCUAUCUGUUUAUCUACAAAUUGUAACAUUGGUAGGGAAGAGAUUGCUUUUUUUCA